GGGGCUGUAGCUCAGUGGUAGAGCCCUUGCCUAGUAUGUGUGAGACACUGGGUUCAAUUCCCAGCACCA
rfam:Ictidomys tridecemlineatus contig035355, whole genome shotgun sequence.